AACGUAGGAGACAAACGUUAUCCGGAGUUACUGGGCGUAAAGGGCGUGUAGGCGGUUUGUUAAGUCUGGCGUGAAAGCUCUCGGCUAAACCGGGAGAGGUCGUUGGAUACUGGCAAACUAGAGGAUGGUAGAGGCGUGUGGAAUUCCGGGUGUAGUGGUGAAAUGCGUAGAGAUCCGGAGGAACACCAGUGGCGAAGGCGACACGCUGGGCCAUACCUGACGCUGAGGAGCGAAAGCGUGGGGAGCGAACAGG
rnacentral:rRNA from 1 species